GGGUCAGUAGGUUGGUCGUGCCACCGGUACGUACUGGUCUCACUGAUUCCUCCUUCCUGAAGAACCGUAAUGCCAUUAAUUUGGUGUUGCGGGGAAACAGGACUGUUACUUUGAAAAGAUUGGAGUGUUUAAAGCAAGCUAACGCUUGAAUACAUUAGCAUGGAAUAAUGAAAUAGGACGAUCGAUCCUAUUUUGUUGGUUUCUAGGAUUGACGUA
rnacentral:rRNA from 1 species